UAUAUACUCCCUCCGUUCGGAAUUACUUGUCACAAAAAUGGAUGUGUCUACAACUAAAAUACAUCUAGAUACGUUCAUUUCUUGGACGAGUAAUUCCGAACGGAGGGAGUACCUU
rnacentral:pre_miRNA from 1 species